CCUACGGGUGGCUGCAGUGGGGAAUAUUGGGCAAUGGAGGCAACUCUGACCCAGCAACGCCGCGUGAAUGAUGAAGGUCUUCGGAUUGUAAAGUUCUUUUCUAAGGGAAGAAGAAAGUGACGGUACCUUAGGAAUAAGCCUCGGCUAACUACGUGCCAUCAGCCGCGGUAAUACGUAGGAGGCAAGCGUUAUCCGGAAUGACUGGGCGUAAAGGGUGCGUAGGUGGUUUGACAAGGUAGUAGCGCAACUCCGGGGCUCAACCUCGGAACUACUAUUGAAACUGUUGGACUUGAGUGCAGGAGAGGCAAGCGGAAUGCGUAGUGUAGCGGUGGAAUGCGUAGAUAUUAGGAGGAACACCAGUGGCGAAGGCGGAUUGCUAGACUGUAACUGACGCUGAGGCACGAAAGCGUGGGGAGCAAACAGGAUUAGAUACCCGGGUAGUC
rnacentral:rRNA from 1 species